ensembl:lncRNA
GAUCUCAAUUCACGCAAGAGAUCAGCUGGAAGAGUCACGUGUCUGCUUUUCCCCUAACGAGGCAGGAAAAAAACGCUUCCCUCGUGGGCCCUGGCAGCUGGCUCCUGGGGCAGCCGAGCCAGGAGGGAACUCCGGGCACCUGAAGUUACCUACCAGCUUUCCUUUGGACCAACAGCACCCUUCAGGGACAUGCUCAAGAUCCCCGAAUAGUCACCGCCUCCCCUGUGCCAGAAUGAGAUGAACCCAGCUGUUCUUCGGGACCUUUGUGAGUUCCAGCCUUCGGGUUGACAAGACUUGGUCACCUGGACCCCUGAGGUUUCGCCAUCACUACUAGGAGAGCAGCCAUGCGCACGCUCAGGGUUGGUCCCCGCUGAGGUCCAGUCUGGACCACAGGGCAGCUCCGAACCAGCCAACGGUGAACUUGCAGUUUCUCAGCCCAUGUCCCUUGCCCCUGCUGACUUCCACUAUCUCACCAGAGGUCACGCGUCCAGGAGAUCAGAGGCCACCGUCCUGGUUGAUGACACCCCAGAAGCACAAACUCCGUCUCACUGGGAGGCUUUGCACAUCAUCAAAGGGCAAGCAAGUGACCCGCAGAGGCUUGGACGGUUCCCGGAAAAGGGCUUAGCUCAACUGCACGGCAAAGAGAUAGACUUCUGUCUGGGGCCUGGACACAACCCACAGCAGAUGCCUCAGCCCUGCAGGGGUCAGGGCCAGUUUCUGAACACAGGUGGUGACCUCACCUGCUUACACAUCCAGGGUCGAACCUGCCACCUGGUAUCUGGUGAUGGGAGCCUUGGCCAGCAACUCCCUUCCUGUCCUCUGAACGUCCCCAGCUUCCUGACUUCUCCCCUGAGGCCAUGGGAAACCAUUGUCUGCCCCUGUAGGAUUAGGUCCAUCCAGGUGUGGGCACCACAGACAGGCUUCCUAUGUUGGGCUCUGCAACUGGUCAGUAUGACCUGGCGGGGGGUGUGUGUGUGCCGCAGUCCCCCUGUUGUAAUGUGGGCACAAGAAUAAUUAUUUCUCCAAAUGUCUCCAAGAUUAGAAAAUGUGAAACAGGAUCUGAAAGAGCAUCAGCACCAAAGAAAUGGAAGCUAUGAACGAAGACACACACAACCCACACUGCCCCUGGUAUUCACCAAGGCUGCAGAGAGGAGCGGAGGCAAUGCUUGGAGGCGUGUUUAGGAGCACUGACGUGUCCCUCAAGCUACAAGGUGCUGCUCUGUCCCAGUGUAGGAGGCUGUCUGUGUUGUUGUGUUGCUCAAGCUUUGUCAUCACACAGAAGUCGGGGGUGGGGGCGGAGGGAGAGACUUCCAGGAGCUGGGGGCUGGGAGAGGGACGUCCUUUGUGACAGGACCUCCUAUUCUGGCUGUGACGGGUUUUCAUGGCUAACAGAAGUCUGCUCAAGGUAAACAGGAACCUACGGUCCCCUGGGGGCUGCGUGUAUGGAAACCUCGCAUGACUACUCCCACGAGGAAAGUCCUGAGCAUCCUUCUACUUUUUCCUAGGGAAGGGGAGGCAAGGGACUGGCUGAGAGCAUUUGUUCAAAUGUGAAAGCUUUGAUUACAUUACAUGCAUGGAAAGCAAGCUUUCUCUCCCUAAAAUCUUGGAAGCCCCAAGAACAUCAUUUCUGUAUGUCUGUGGGUGUACACACGACUCUGUUGACCCCUAGGCAGCUUCCUUCGCCCUUAUUCAAAACAGUUUUUACCAGGUCUCUCUAACUGCCUGGUUUAACUGGGUUUACAGCAGACAAUCACGGGUGUGUCUGGGGAGAGAAGUCGCUGCCCUUCUAUUCCAACUCUUGGGUUCUUGAUCUGUGGUAUGUCAGGUGACCUCUCCGAGCUUGGAUGCCCUCAUG